rnacentral:tRNA from 1 species
GGGGAUGUAGCUCAAUUGGUAGAGCGUUAUGCCACGUGUGCAUGAAGGAACGGGGUUCGAUUCCUCGCAUCUCCA